GAUGAACGCUGGCGGCGUGCCUAAUACAUGCAAGUCGAGCGAACAGACGAGGAGCUUGCUCCUCUGACGUUAGCGGCGGACGGGUGAGUAACACGUGGAUAACCUACCUAUAAGACUGGGAUAACUUCGGGAAACCGGAGCUAAUACCGGAUAAUAUAUUGAACCGCAUGGUUCAAUAGUGAAAGACGGUUUUGCUGUCACUUAUAGAUGGAUCCGCGCCGCAUUAGCUAGUUGGUAAGGUAACGGCUUACCAAGGCAACGAUGCGUAGCCGACCUGAGAGGGUGAUCGGCCACACUGGAACUGAGACACGGUCCAGACUCCUACGGGAGGCAGCAGUAGGGAAUCUUCCGCAAUGGGCGAAAGCCUGACGGAGCAACGCCGCGUGAGUGAUGAAGGUCUUCGGAUCGAAAAACUCUGUUAUUAGGGAAGAACAAAUGUGUAAGUAACUAUGCACGUCAUGACGGUACCUAAUCAGAAAGCCACGGCUAACUACGUG
rnacentral:rRNA from 1 species